rnacentral:rRNA from 1 species
GUCGAACGCUGGCGGCGUGCUUAACACGUGCAAGUCGAACGGAAAGGCCCUGCUUUUGUGGGGUGCUCGAGUGGCGAACGGGUGAGUAACACGUGAGUAACCUGCCCUUUACUUUGGGAUAACUUCAGGAAACUGGGGCUAAUACCGGAUAGGAGCUCCUGCUGCAUUGUGGGGGUUGGAAAGUUUCGGCGGUUGGGGAUGGACACGCGGCUUAUCAGCUUGUUGGUGGGGUAGUGGCUUACCAAGGCUUUGACGGGUAGCCGGCCUGAGAGGGUGACCGGCCACAUUGGGACUGAGAUACGGCCCAGACUCCUACGGGAGGCAGCAGUGGGGAAUAUUGCACAAUGGGCGGAAGCCUGAUGCAGCAACGCCGCGUGCGGGAUGACGGCCUUCGGGUUGUAAACCGCUUUCGCCUGUGACGAAGCGUGAGUGACGGUAAUGGGUAAAGAAGCACCGGCUAACUACGUG